UACGAAGGGGGCUAGCGUUGCUCGGAAUCACUGGGCGUAAAGCGCACGUAGGCGGACUCUUAAGUCAGGGGUGAAAUCCUGGAGCUCAACUCCAGAACUGCCUUUGAUACUGAGGAUCUUGAGUUCGGGAGAGGUGAGUGGAACUGCGAGUGUAGAGGUGAAAUUCGUAGAUAUUCGCAAGAACACCAGUGGCGAAGGCGGCUCACUGGCCCGAUACUGACGCUAAGGCACGAAAGCGUGGGGAGCAAACAGG
rnacentral:rRNA from 1 species